CAAAGAGGGGGACAACAGGGGGAAACGACGGCAAACACCGCAAAACCCCACGGCGCCGCAGGGCACAGAGGGAAAAGGAGUAAUCCGCUAAGAGACGGCCCUCGCGUCCGAUUAGCGAGGGGGGGAGGUAACGGCCCACCAAGGCGACGAUCGGUAGCCGGACUGAGAGGUUGAACGGCCACAUUGGGACUGAGACACGGCCCAGACUCCUACGGGAGGCAGCAGUGGGGAAUAUUGCACAAUGGGGGAAACCCUGAUGCAGCGACGCCGCGUGGAGGAAGAAGGCCUUCGGAUUGUAAACUCCUGUUGUUGGGGAAGAUAAUGACGGUACCCAACAAGGAAGUGACGGCUAACUACGUGCCAGCAGCCGCGGUAAAACGUAGGUCACAAGCGUUGUCCGGAAUUACUGGGUGUAAAGGGAGCGCAGGCGGGAAGACAAGUUGGAAGUGAAAUCUAUGGGCUCAACCCAUAAACUGCUUUCAAAACUGUUUUUCUUGAGUAGUGCAGAGGUAGGCGGAAUUUCCGGUGUAGCGGUGGAAUGCGUAGAUAUCGGGAGGAACACCAGUGGCGAAGGCGGCCUACUGGGCACCAACUGACGCUGAGGCUCGAAAGUGUGGGUAGCAAACAGGAUUAGAUACCCUGGUAGUCCACACCGUAAACGAUGAUUACUAGGUGUUGGAGGAUUGACCCCUUCAGUGCCGCAGUUAACACAAUAAGUCAUCCACCUGGGGAGUACGACCGCAAGGUUGAAACUCAAAGGAAUUGACGGGGGCCCGCACAAGCAGUGGAGUAUGUGGUUUAAUUCGACGCAACGCGAAGAACCUUACCAAGUCUUGACAUCCCUUGACAGACAUAGAAAUAUGUAAUCUCUUCGGAGCAAGGAGACAGGUGGUGCAUGGUUGUCGUCAGCUCGUGUCGUGAGAUGUUGGGUUAAGUCCCGCAACGAGCGCAACCCUUAUGGUCAGUUACUACGCAAGAGGACUCUGGCCAGACUGCCGUUGACAAAACGGAGGAAGGUGGGGAUGACGUCAAAUCAUCAUGCCCUUUAUGACUUGGGCUACACACGUACUACAAUGGCGUUAAACAAAGAGAAGCAAGACCGCGAGGUGGAGCAAAACUCAGAAACAACGUCCCAGUUCGGACUGCAGGCUGCAACUCGCCUGCACGAAGUCGGAAUUGCUAGUAAUCGUGGAUCAGCAUGCCACGGUGAAUACGUUCCCGAGCCUUGCACA
rnacentral:rRNA from 1 species